AUGAAGUAGCUAAUACUUAGUGGCGGACGGGUGAGUAACGCGUGGGUAACCUGCCUUAUACAGGGGAAUAACAGCCGGAAACGGUUGCUAAAACCGCAUAACAUGCAUUCAUCGCAUGAUGAAAGCAUCAAAUAUUUAUAGGUAUAAGAUGGGCCCGCGUCUGAUUAGCUAGUUGGUGAGGUAACUGCUCACCAAGGCGACGAUCAGUAGCCGGCUUGAGAGAGUGACCGGCCACAUUGGGACUGAGACACGGCCCAAACUCC
rnacentral:rRNA from 1 species